rnacentral:rRNA from 1 species
UACGUAGGGGGCAAGCGUUGUCCGGAAUCACUGGGCGUAAGGCGCGCGCAGGCGGCUAUCUACGUCCGGGGUGAAAGCCCAGAGCUCAACUCUGGGACUGCCUUGGAUACGGGAUGGCUUGAGGAUCGGAGAGGCAAGGGGAAUUCCACGUGUAGCGGUGAAAUGCGUAGAGAUGUGGAGGAACACCUGUGGCGAAGGCGCCUUGCUGGCCGAUUUCUGACGCUGAGGCGCGAAAGCGUGGGGAGCAAACAGG